GGUAGCGUGGCCGAGCGGUCCAAGGGGCUGGUUUAAGGCACCAGUCUCUUCGGGGGCAUGGGUUCGAAUCCCAUCGCUGCCA
rnacentral:tRNA from 1 species